rfam:Triticum aestivum genome assembly, contig: Triticum_aestivum_CS42_TGACv1_scaffold_329293_4BS
UGUUUGCUGUGAUGAAUCACCAGGACGGUAUCUGAGUAAUGUUGAUAUCGAAAAAGACCUCCUUCCUUGAUUACACAUCCUAAACUGAUCAUAUAUUCUGAGCAAACA